rnacentral:rRNA from 1 species
UACGUAGGGGGCAAGCGUUGUCCGGAAUCACUGGGCGUAAAGGGCGCGUAGGCGGCUCGGUAAGUAGGGGGUGAAAUCCUGCGGCUUAACCGCAGAGCUGCCUUCUAAACUGUCGAGCUCGAGCACGGUAGAGGCAGAUGGAAUUCCCGGUGUAGCGGUGGAAUGCGUAGAGAUCGGGAAGAACAUCAGUGGCGAAGGCGGUCUGCUGGGCCGUUGCUGACGCUGAGGCGCGACAGCGUGGGGAGCAAACAGG